GCGUUGGACUUUUAAUCCAACGGUCAAGGGUUCAAGUCCCUUAUCGGGCU
rfam:Ciona savignyi cont_60477, whole genome shotgun sequence.